rnacentral:tRNA from 1 species
GGCAGAGUUACUUUGUUGGUAUAGGUAGCGAGAUUUUCACUCUCGCCUUCGCGGGUUCGAUUCCCGUCUCUGUCAC